GGUCUGAGAGAGAAAAGCUCUUACAGUUCACAGAGAAGGACUUUGUACUGAAAGUGUAACUCAUGAGUCCAAGGAAAUGUCUUAGAUGUAGAAAGGGGGAGGGGAAAAAACAAAGACAAACCAAAAACAAACACACACAAAACCAAAAAACAUUUUUGUGAGAGAAACUACUUCCAAAGGUGGCAAACCCUCCUGACUGACUGCAAAGACAAAACCCAGAAAAAUGGCCUGAGUCUCUCACAGCUACAGUCCUGCCUGGAGAAGGACCUGGGCCAGAUGACAAAACACAAAAGUCCUGGGAUCCAGGACUCUGGCCUGGCUGCUGGGACACAAAACGAGACUCAGUUGCAACAACAUGACAAAGAGGAUUCCCCUGACAAAUGGAGAACAGAGGAAGAAAUGGCAGCUGAAGCAGCAAUUCUGAAGAAGUAUUUCCAAGAAAAUUAGAGGUAAUGGUUUGCUCAUUAAGUUAUUCCUGCAACACUCAGAACUCUUGGGUGUUCCAUAGGAUUCUUAAGGACACAUGAGAAUAUGUAGAAUGAAACCUAAAAAGCUCUAUUGUUUUUUUUCGUUCGUGUUGUUUCCUAAAAGGACACAAUACUCCAACAGUGGCUGAAAUAACAUCCUCCUUCUCGAACAAAUAAGCACCAUCUUAAAGCUUUUAGUUCCCAGAGAGUGAAAAAUAACACACCUGG
rnacentral:lncRNA from 1 species